rnacentral:rRNA from 1 species
GCAUAACGCGAAGAACCUUACCAAGGCUUGACAUGCAUCUCUAAGCGCGUGAAAGCGCGUGACCCUUCGGGGGAUUUGCACAGGUGCUGCAUGGCCGUCGUCAGCUCGUGUCGUGAGAUGUUGGGUUAAGUCCCGCAACGAGCGCAACCCUUGUGACUAGUUGCCAGCACGUUAUGGUGGGAACUCUAGUCAGACUGCCCAGAUCAACUGGGAGGAAGGUGGGGACGACGUCAGGUCAGUAUGGCCCUUACGCCUUGGGCUGCACACGUACUACAAUGCCCAGUACAAUGAGAACCGAGACCGCGAGGUGGAGGAAAUACUAAAAAACUGGGCCCAGUUCGGAUUGGAGGCUGCAACUCGCCUCCAUGAAGUUGGAAUCGCUAGUAAUGGCGCAUCAUCUACGGCGCCGUGAAUACGUUCCCGGGUCUUGUACACACCG